rnacentral:rRNA from 1 species
AGUCGAGCGAGAACCGUUACGGGGGUAACCUUGUGCGGGGACAGCGGCGAAAGGGUGAGUAAUGCAUAGACAACCUGCCCCUCAGUCUGGGAUAACUCUGGGGAACCGGGGCUAAUACCGGAUAGUUUCCUGGUAUCGCAUGGUAUUGGGAAUAAAGAUGGCCUCUCAAUGAAGCUUUCGUUGAGGGAGGGGUCUAUGUCCUAUUAGCUUGUUGGUGAGGUAACGGCUCACCAAGGCAGUGAUGGGUAGCCGACUUUAGCGAGUGACCGGCCACACUGGAACUGAGACACUGUCCAGACUCCUACGGGAGGCUGCAGUCGAGAAUCUUCCGCAAUGGACGCAAGUCUGACGGAGCGACGCCGCGUGUGGGAUUGAAGGCCUUCGGGUUGUAAACCACUGUCACGGGUUAAGAAAUGCUGUGUUGUUAAUAGCUUCACGGUUUGACAAAGGCCCGGGAGGAAGCCACGGCUAACUUCGUGCCAGCAGCCGCGGUAAGACGAAGGUGGCAAGCGUUGUUCGGAAUCACUGGGCAUAAAGCGCGCGCAGGCGGUCUAUUAAGUUGGAUGUGAAAUCCCUCGGCCCAACCGAGGAACUGCGUCCAAUACUGGUAGACUUGAGGAUCGGAGAGGUGCAUGGAUUCCUGGUGGAGCGGUGAAAUGCGUUGAUAUCAGGAGGAACACCGGAGGCGAAGGCGAUGCACUGGCCGGUUACUGACGCUGAGGUGCGAAAGCUAGGGGAGCGAACGGGAUUAGAUACCCCGGUAGUCCUAGCCGUAAACGAUGAGCACU